CCUAGAUCUAAAGAAAUCCUGUUCAAUUCCACUCCCUCUCCUAGAGCCCCAGUAUAGCCAUGUGAAUGAACCUAGGCUACCCUACUGCAGGAGGAGUGUCUGUGAGGAGGGUCCAGAUGCGGCUCUGGGCCAUCAGAUGUGCCAUCUGAGGCCAUCCUAGACCUGCCUGCAGCCAGCCAACUCCCAAACCUGUGAGACAGCCCAGCCCAGAAAGCAGAGCUGAUGCACCAAAUGAUAGCUGACUCUGAGGAUGCAUGAGACCAGAAGAACUGUCCUGCUCUCUCUCCAGACGUGUGAGCAUUAAGAGAUGCUUAUUGUUGAAGUCAUUUAUAGUAUGGGGGUGAUUUGUUAUGCAGCAGAAUCUAACGGGUACAGCAUGGAGUACAAAGAACUCUUAAAGUGCUGCUCUCAAUAUGCCAGCAAAUUUGUAAAACUCAGCAAAGGCCACAGGACUGGAAGAGGAAACAGUGGUGAAUGAGACGUUGCUCACACCUUCAGUGGUUUGCUGUCUAGUUGGGGAAACACCACCAAAUAAAAAGAACCCCAUCACAACUGGCUCUUAAAGGAUCCCUCUCAAGAAGAAGGGUCAUUCCAGGCAGGAAGAUCAGCAUGAAAGGAGGCACGGAGACAUAAAAGCAUCUCUCUCCCACCUAAGGCCAUCCUUCAAUCAGCAGGGAAUCUGAGCAUCCCAUCCCUCAACAGUGAAGGAAUAGGGAGGAAAAACAAGUACCAAGUAACAUUCUCUGAGUCAACAUGAGAACUCAGCACUUUAGAUGGAGUCACGUAACCAUCUCAACAACUUAGGUGGUAAGAGUUUUCAGAAAUGAGGAGACUUGCCUAAAAUCACAGAGUUAAGAGGUGGCAUGGAUCAUCUCCCAGCAAUGUAGAAUCAUGCCUCAGCUUUGGAAACAGAGAGACAGGGGUUUAGAUUCCCCACUAUUUAUUUUUUAUUUUUUGGUCCCUUACUAGCUGCAUGACCUGCAGAUAAGGUGACACAUAUCAAGCCAUUUGUUAUUACUAUUUAUAAUAGCAACUAGCAGCCAUUUGUUAUUACUAUUCAUAUUACUAUUGAUAAUUUGUUAUUACUAUUUAUAACAAAUAAUUAUAAUUCAAAGCAACCUGACUGAACAGAUACAAAUAUUACAGGAAAAAGAGAGAGUAAAGGAAAGAAAUGAAACUAUUUCCCCUUUCCACCCAGCAUGGGGGCUCUGGGGUCUUCAUGCCUUUGGGGCCUGGAGUUCAGAGAGCAGGAGCCAACUCCUCCAUCUGCCCCAGGAAAGACACCAGCCACACCCUCACGAGGCUCUGCCUUCCCACCUCCAACGUGGCUACUGCCGGCUGCACCAGGGCUGCCCCACGAGGCAGGGAGGACACGUCUUCAAGGAGACACUCACGUCUGAACUGUCCCCCAGGAUUUGCAGGCUGCACACAGUUUGUCCCCACUGGACUCCUUGAACAUCUGGGCUCCUGCUGCUGCCUCUAGGAAAGUUCUGCACCAGGCUUUAUCUCAAAAUCCUUGGAUGAACCCAUGUUUGUGCUCAAGAAUUUGGCUGGCUACUUAGGAGCAAGGUGAAUAAAGCAAAACUGAGAGGAUCAGUAUAUGGUGCAAAUCACACGCUUAUCUUGAGAGAUGGGAUCUGGUUUGGGAGAUGGAUUUCUAACUCAGACGCUGAGGCUACAGCAAUGAACAUAACACAGUGGAGUGGAAUAAACAAUUAUGGAAUGAAUGAAUGAGAGCCCGCCCUCCUGGCCACACUCUUCCUGAGUUGACUCCUCUAGUACGUGACUUCCCUGAUGGGCAGCGUGGGGCAUCCUAGUCCCUCCACCCUGCCUGCUGUUUGGUCCUCCCAAGUGUCUCCUUUGCUUUUGAGAAACCUAAGAAGACAAGCCAUGCCAUUUCAUUUUCUCCAACUCCUCCUGACCAAAUGCACCCCCAUCCUUGCAGAUUUUUAAUAACAAUGUGGCUGCCCUGGGGAUUACGUACACCAAGUCAAGGAGAGAAGAUCCAGGAUGGUGAGCAGGCCCAGUGACUCCACCCUUCCUCCACGCUCUUUACCUAAGAGUCCUCCUGGGCCCCCAGGAAGCAUGGCUGUCUCCCAGGGUUUACAUGCUUUAAGCGCUUCACGAGUCCCUUAUCACCUAUCCUGGAACCACGACUGGCUGGGAGGAAAAGAAAGGAAGGAAAAAAAUGGGACCUAUUUAUCUGUUACUCCAUUUCCUAAAAUUUUGGAGCCUUGAGAAGAAAAGCUAGCAGAUGUUAGGAUAUUUGGCCAAAUAAAUAAUAUCAAAUAAGCCAUCAAAAUCAACCCUUCACCAUUAGCAUGACACAAUUCAAUAGCAACAACAAAAAUGUUUGGUCCAGUGGGUGGAAAAGGGAAUGAAAUCUACAGUCUUCUCUACUUUUCAAACACAAUUAGGUUACAGUCCAGAGAGGAGGAAAGUGAUUAGAAUUAACACCCUAUUAAAUUCCAAUACGACCUGAAUUAUUCUCAAAAUUUGUCUUACUUGCGGGAAAAAAAAGGGAUCCAAAAUGAAAACAUUCACUCAUUCAUUCAGUCAGUCAUCUAUUUGUUGAGAUAAUGCUUACUGAACACCAGCUCUGUACCCCAUACUGGAUCUCGGAAAUGCAAAGGUAGGAAGAUGACUGGUCAUCUUCAAGAGCAAGAAGAAAAAAAAAGCCUGUACAAAGGAUACUAAAAAGAUGGCUCUAGGGCCCCUAUCCGAGGCCUACUGAAGCAAACUUCUGACAUGAAAUCGGAAUUCUCCAUUUUAAGUAAACACUACAGGUGAUUCUUAAGCACUUA